rnacentral:rRNA from 1 species
CCUGGCUCAGGACGAACGCUGGCGGCGCGCCUAACACAUGCAAGUCGAACGAGAGAUGAGGAGCUUGCUCUUCAAAUCGAGUGGCGAACGGGUGAGUAACGCGUGAGGAACCUGCCUCAAAGAGGGGGACAACAGUUGGAAACGACUGCUAAUACCGCAUAAGCCCACGGCUCGGCAUCGAGCAGAGGGAAAAGGAGCAAUCCGCUUUGAGAUGGCCUCGCGUCCGAUUAGCUAGUUGGUGAGGUAACGGCCCACCAAGGCGACGAUCGGUAGCCGGACUGAGAGGUUGAACGGCCACAUUGGGACUGAGACACGGCCCAGACUCCUACGGGAGGCAGCAGUGGGGAAUAUUGCACAAUGGGGGAAACCCUGAUGCAGCGACGCCGCGUGGAGGAAGAAGGUCUUCGGAUUGUAAACUCCUGUUGUUGAGGAAGAUAAUGACGGUACUCAACAAGGAAGUGACGGCUAACUACGUGCCAGCAGCCGCGGUAAAACGUAGGUCACAAGCGUUGUCCGGAAUUACUGGGUGUAAAGGGAGCGCAGGCGGGAGAACAAGUUGGAAGUGAAAUCCAUGGGCUCAACCCAUGAACUGCUUUCAAAACUGUUUUUCUUGAGUAGUGCAGAGGUAGGCGGAAUUCCCGGUGUAGCGGUGGAAUGCGUAGAUAUCGGGAGGAACACCAGUGGCGAAGGCGGCCUACUGGGCACCAACUGACGCUGAGGCUCGAAAGUGUGGGUAGCAAACAGGAUUAGAUACCCUGGUAGUCCACACCGUAAACGAUGAUUACUAGGUGUUGGAGGAUUGACCCCUUCAGUGCCGCAGUUAACACAAUAAGUAAUCCACCUGGGGAGUACGACCGCAAGGUUGAAACUCAAAGGAAUUGACGGGGGCCCGCACAAGCAGUGGAGUAUGUGGUUUAAUUCGACGCAACGCGAAGAACCUUACCAAGUCUUGACAUCCCUUGACGAUGCUGGAAACAGUAUUUCUCUUCGGAGCAAGGAGACAGGUGGUGCAUGGUUGUCGUCAGCUCGUGUCGUGAGAUGUUGGGUUAAGUCCCGCAACGAGCGUAACCCUUAUGGUCAGUUACUACGCAAGAGGACUCUGGCCAGACUGCCGUUGACAAAACGGAGGAAGGUGGGGAUGACGUCAAAUCAUCAUGCCCUUUAUGACUUGGGCUACACACGUACUACAAUGGCGUUAAACAAAGAGAAGCAAGACCGCGAGGUGGAGCAAAACUCAGAAACAACGUCCCAGUUCGGACUGCAGGCUGCAACUCGCCUGCACGAAGUCGGAAUUGCUAGUAAUCGUGGAUCAGCAUGCCACGGUGAAUACGUUCCCGGGCCUUGCACACACCGCCC